rnacentral:misc_RNA from 1 species
GGAAGGAUCAUUAACAACGUAUCCACGUUUUAUCAACCAACUGUGAACUUGUUUUCAAAUCUCCAACUGUUGUCUGACAGUCCCGGAUGGUUCCAUCCAUGCAUGGAACCAGCCGUAUGGGAGUGCCAGAUGAUGACUCUAUCAUACACCAUUCUAACCGUACUUUUUACUAGUUGACUUUAUCUGUUGUGAAUUGGAACGAAUUUCUUUCGAUUUCAGUUCUCACACGUUUCUUAAUUGAACGAUAAAUUUACAACUCUUGGCGAUGGAUAUCUUGGUUCUCGCAACGAUGAAGAACGCAGCGAAAUGCGAUACGUAAUGCGAAUUGCAGGAUUCAGCGAAUCAUCAAAUCUUUGAACGCAAAUUGCGCUCUUGGGUAGCCCUAGGAGCACGCCUCUCUCAGUAUCGGUUCAAUCUAAUCUCAGCAGCGUCAUUGGCAACAAUUGCGUGUGCUGGACAAUGAGAGUCUGAAUGUUCACUCUUUAGUCUCUUGAAAUCCAUGGAAUGAAAAACUCAACUAAUUGACGCAUGCUUCGGCAUCGCUCAGUCUCUGACUGUUGUCUUCUUAGUGACGUGAAUACUGAUCUUUAUGAUCUCUUCUACGUGUAUCUUUGAAGCAAUACCUAAGGUCUAGGACUGCAGUGCGUCGUCAAUUGACUAUGGUUGAUGUGCUCAUGCAACGUGACUGUAUGUAAGAAAGGUCACAAUCGAUCGCCGCCUUUGGCUAUCUGAAUAUUUGAUCUGAGAUGAAGUGAGACAACCCCCUGAAUUUAAGCAUAUUAAUAAGGGGAGGAAAAGAAAAUAACAAUGAUGCCCUUAGUAACGGCGAGUGAAGCGGGCAAAGCUCAAUUUGAAAAUCGAUUACCCAAGCGGGUCAUCGAGUUGUAGCCUAGAGACGUACUAUCAGCUGAAACCUGGGUAUAAGUUCUUUGGAAUGAGACAUAACAUAGGGUGAGAAUCCCGUAUAUGAUCCAAAGCUUUCAGCGUACGAUGUAUGUUCAUCGAGUCGAGUAGUUUGGGAUUGCUGCUCUAAAUGGGAGGUAAGUUUCUUCUAAAGCUAAAUAUUGGCGAGAGACCGAUAGCGAACAAGUACCGUGAGGGAAAGAUGAAAAGAACUUUGGAAAGAGAGUCAAAAGUACUUGAAAUCGCUAAGAGGGAAGCGCUGAAAACUAGUGAUAUAUGUAGUUAAUCGCUUUUAGCCCCUCUGGAUUAUGCUUAUAGUUGGAUAACUCUAUCUGUAUACUCGAAAAGGAGGUUGGAGGUUCAUAACUAUGUAUAAGUCAAGAUCAAUUCGGCAUCUGUGGGAGAAGGCAGUAAGAAAGGUAGGAGAGCAAUCUCUGUUAUAGUCUUAUUGUUCUACCUCGGGCUGGAUUGAGGAAGUAAUAGUGCGCUGCUUGCGGCUUAGUCCUAUGCACCUAUUAUUUUAUUUGUGGUCAUAGCAAUGCUAUGUCUAUGGAGAAGAGUAAUACUGUGUAUGGUGACUCUAUGUGCUAUCACGAUCUUGUACGAAAUGGUUUUCAUCGACCCGUCUUGAAACACGGACCAAGGAGUCUAACAUCUAUGCAAGUAUUUGAGUGCAAAACUCUGAUGCGUAAUGAAAGUAAAGAUAGACUUGUCUAUUGAGGUAGGAAUCCGGUCAAACGGAGGCACUAUCGACCGAUCAUCACUUGUGAAAGAUUUGAGUAAGAGCAUAUCUGUUGGGACCCGAAAGAUGGUGAUCUAUGCCUGAACAGGGUGAAGCCAGGAGAAAUUCUGGUGGAGGCUCGUAGCGAUACUGACGUGCAAAUCGUUCGUCUGAUUUGGGUAUAGGGGCGAAAGACUAAUCGAACCAUCUAGUAGCUGGUUCCCUC